GUGAACAGGGGCUGCUGAGGAGGUGAAUGGGGAAUUCAGUGGUGACCCCCACAUUCCAAACAUGGUGCUCUGUGUGACUGCUCGACUCACUGAGAAUGUGAGCGAUCAGCUAAGAAAAAUCAAUAUUUCACAGCUCACACCAAAGAGGAUCUAUACUCCAGCAUCUCAGUUCUCAGCAUUUCAGCUGCAGUGACUGGCCUAAAGUCAAUCUGGGAGCUGGUCAAGUGCUUUCUACAGAUGCAGUAAAAACUACUGAGAACUGUGAAACCUAGCUGAUUAGGAAACAGAGACGGAAGUAUUUAUUUUGGUCAAUGCAGCCAAUAGUAGCAUCAUAAUGAAAUCCAUUGGUUCUCCAGGGAGAAGCUGAAAUUCAAAAAGCAUUUCAGGAUUCUUCUCAAGAAGAAACACAGGAGAGUCUUCUACAACAGUUUUUCCAUAUUCCCAAGCUGGACUGGCCCACUGCAUCAAGAUAUCAGGUUCUGCAGAAUUCACUUGUUUAUGGAAACAGGGAUGAUAAGAUAACUUAAAUAAAGACCUCAGUGAAGGAUUGGGUAAUAUCAACAAAAUUAUGAAGGAAGUUUUCUCUCCCUCUGCCGAUCUCUGAUCCAUAGAAAAGGGGUAUAAAAGAAGCAGGGGGAAAUGAAAUGCAUGCUCUAAGGCUUUCAUUUGAGAUAAGAAUAUCAAGCUAACCCCUUAGCUGUCUUUCUGGUUUUCCUGUUAUAUUCUUUCCAGUGUUUGGCAACUGUCUUUUGAAGAAUCCUGCAUUUUCACUUGUUAGUUUAGGCCAUAAAUUAAUUUAGGAUGCUGGACAUGAUGUUUUAAAGUUAAGGCUUGCAUUCAGUUGUAUUUCACAAUCUGCUAUUCAUCAUAGUUUUGAUUUGCCCAGAAUGAUAUUGUCCAGAUAAAGUAUAGAACUGUCUUUCCAUUGUCUUAGUAUCAUGUAUCCCUUGUUUGCUUUGAGUGUUUAUUGAUGUAUUGCCCCAUGAUUUAUUGUUUUAUUGUUCCUUUUAGUCAUUUGCUUUCACCUCCUUCUUAUAUAUUGUGCCAAUAAGCCAUGGUGUUUUGUCCCAGUUACAUUUCUGAGUCAUGUGUUCAUUUGAGCUUGUGUGUUCCUUACAGGUUUGGC